rnacentral:rRNA from 1 species
GAUGAACGCUGGCGGCGUGCCUAAUACAUGCCAGUCGAGCGAACAGACGAGGAGCUUGCUCCUCUGACGUUAGCGGCGGACGGGUGAGUAACACGUGGAUAACCUACCUAUAAGACUGGGAUAACUUCGGGAAACCGGAGCUAAUACCGGAUAAUAUAUUGAACCGCAUGGUUCAAUAGUGAAAGACGGUUUUGCUGUCACUUAUAGAUGGAUCCGCGCCGCAUUAGCUAGUUGGUAAGGUAACGGCUUACCAAGGCAACGAUGCGUAGCCGACCUGAGAGGGUGAUCGGCCACCCUGGAACUGAGACACGGUCCAGACUCCUACGGGAGGAAGCAGUAGGGAAUCUUCCGCAAUGGGCGAAAGCCUGACGGAGCAACGCCGCGUGAGUGAUGAAGGUCUUCGGAUCGUAAAACUCUGUUAUUAGGGAAGAACAAAUGUGUAAGUAACUAUGCACGUCUUGACGGUACCUAAUCAGAAAGCCACGGCUAACUACGUG